UUUCAAGUUUUUGUAAUUAUGUUGUCUCCUGUAAUCAACUUACCUUCAAUACAUCCAAAAAAAACCCCUCUUCUCAUUCAAACAUGGAACAACUGUUUCAUGUGGUCAUGAAAUCAGGUUUCAACACUUGUGGCUUUUGUUUCUUUAUACAGGAGAAAGAAAACACACCAUUCUUCUUUUAUCUGUCUGCCUCUCUGUCUUGAGACAAGAUACUUAAAUGUUGCUUUCAACUUACUAUUUCAACUUACUCUAUAGCCCAAGCUGUCUUUUAACUUGUGAUCCUUGGCAUAGCUUAAUUUUCUAAGAGACUCUCAGUUUCAAAGCUAUUAAUUUUCAUUAAGUCAAACACCAAUUUAAAAGUUUGUAAAGAAUUGAGUAGCAUGAACACACCAACCUGAAAUUAAAAAGAAACAACAGCUUGAUACAAUUAAUCUAGUGAUUUGUUUCAUCAUCAUUCUUUACUAGCAUCUAUAGACUAAAUGCAAUAAUCACUUCUCCAUUAACAAGAGCAAAAUUUCUAAAAAUAGUUUGAGGAGAAUAGAUGGAGUCAAUCAGAUAUCUGGAGUCAUUAAUUCCCUGUCAAAGCAUUGGUUUUGGACAUUUCUGAUCCCAGAAACCAGGAUUAGUGCCUAAAUAUUAUCAAAAUACAGCCUUUUGAGUAUAUGUAUAAUUUUGAGUAUGUGUAUAAUUUUGGAAUCGGUCUGUGGAAAUUACUAGAAAAUAAUAGUAGGUGAAAUAAAUUGACAUAUUGGGGGAAAUUCCAUUAAUUCAGAUGAAUGGAAUAAUAAUAAUUUAAUCAAUGUUAAUUUAAAUAAAAGGAGAAUUGUUGUGUCUUAGGGUUUCUAUUACUGUGAUAAGCCACCAUGACAAAAGCAACUUGGGGGAGGAAAGUGUUUAUUUCAUUUUGCAACUUGUAGUCCAUUACCCCAGAAAGUCAAGUGGGAGGAACAUGGAGGCAGGAUAUGGUGCAGAGGCUAUAGAGGAGUGCUUACUGGCUUGUCCCUCUUGACUUGCUUAGCCUGCUUUCUUAUAAACUUAGGACUACUUGCCCAGGGAUUGAACCACCCACAAUGGGCUAGGCCCUCCCAUAUUAUUAAUUAAUCAAAACCAAAUCACGAUGAUGCAUUUGGUUUUGUUUUAAUGGGUCAGGUUUGUGAUUUAAAGAGAGAUAUAGUAGAUACAGCUCCUGUAUACUUAAGACAUUGAAGGUUAUGCAAAUUACAGGAUAAUAUUUUUUAUUUAAAUGCAUCAUUUCUGAUUUAUUGUCAUGGUCAGAAUUAGGGUAAUGGGGCUUUCACAAGCUUGCCCUAUCAUAUCUCCACCAUAAAAAGCAAUAAAGAGGAAUGCUGAAAGCUAAGCACCACAAUCUUCAUUCUGUACACAGAAAAUAGACUUGAAGUUUGGACAGUUUUUAAAUGUAUUCACACCAAGAUCCUAUCAUUACAGAGCCUUGAUGUUCUCCAGUUAUAAAGAGGGUAUAGAGUCAUAGAAAUAUUUUAGAGUCCUAACUAAAAAUUCUGUACCAAGAGUAUUCAAAAUACUCAGAGAUUGCCUUUGCCUCAAGAGUAACAGUGUAGAAAAUACGUACAGGUUCCCUUACAGAAAGAAGGAAUUAAAUACAUGAUUCAACGUCAGUCUUCCUUGCAGUCGGUGUGCUUUGGAUUUCAGAACUGAGGCAAUUCUUCAACUUUCAUAACAAAUUAUAAUUUUCUACUAUGAUGAGUGACUUUAACACUUUAAUUGUUCUUUCUGUUUUUCAGGCACACAUGUCAAGUAACACACUAGGAUAGAGUUCAUGUUGAUCUGUCUCAAGCUUAAAAUAGCAUGAUAUAUUAUCAGAAGACAUACAUUUCUGUCAGUAAAGGGAAAGCCACCCAGUUGCCAUUGUGUCCAGAAUCUUCCAAAUUGUCUUCACUUUGGCUCUGAGAGUUAAGUACCACCACUUGACCUCUGCUAUUUUCAAUUCCUAUCAUCUCUAUUAGCCCAAGUAUAGAGCAAGGUACUGCUAGUUUCUCAAUAAUGUGUUUUCCUUUACAUAUUGUUAUUACUUGUUUUCUCAGAACAUAUAUUAAAAACCAAUUUUGAUGUGAGAUUUUAAAACUCUUUCUCAACAGUUUUAUUAGAGAGGCAGACAAUUUUAUCUCAUUUACUAGCUGGUUUCCAAACCCCAGUUCCUACUUAGAAUUUUGUGCAUAGGCUCAGGAUAGACUCCCUGGAUUUUAGCCUAUUUUCAGUUCUCUUAUUCUUCAUCUAUCCUGACAUGUUCCUCUGUUUCUUGUCAGCAUACAUUAGCCAUAUUUGUAGUUCUUUUUAAUAAACAGUCCUUUUGCUCUAUCUAUUUUGUUGUUGUUUACUGAAGAUAUUCUCUGAUCAAACAAGACUUUCCAAAUUUUAAAAAAAUAUAGUUAUUGGGCUGGAAGCAAUAAUUCAAACACCAGUUUAGAAGAAGAUAUGUGUCAUCUUGUAAAAUAUUUACCUCAGUGAUAAUUAUAUGGAAUACAGAUAUUGAGAAUCUGUUCUUCUCUAGUAAAGAGGAGGGAAGCACUUAUAUUUUCCCAUAAAGUUUGGAAGGCUGAAUUUUCUGAAAUUAUACUUAGCCUAGGACUUAACGCUCCACUAUUUCCCCAAGAAUUGAUUUUAAUAUAUAAAAACUCACUACCACUGUAAAUACAGCCUUCUUCUUACUUGUUCAUCUUAAUAUUAAUCUAGAAAAAUAUUCACACCACAAUGUGCACUCUAGUAUAUGA
ensembl:lncRNA